rnacentral:rRNA from 1 species
AGCAUGUGGUUUAAUUCGAAGCAACGCGCAGAACCUUACCAGCCUUUGACAUCCUAGGACGACUUCUGGAGACAGAUUUCCUUCCCUUCGGGGACCUAGUGACAGGUGCUGCAUGGCUGUCGUCAGCUCGUGUCGUGAGAUGUUGGGUUAAGUCCCGCAACGAGCGCAACCCUCGUCCUUAGUUGCCAUCAUUAAGUUGGGCACUUUAAGGAAACUGCCGGUGAUAAGCCGGAGGAAGGUGGGGAUGACGUCAAGUCCUCAUGGCCCUUACAGGCUGGGCUACACACGUGCUACAAUGGCAUCUACAGUGGGCAGCUAUUCCGCAAGGAUGCGCUAAUCUCCAAAAGAUGUCUCAGUUCGGAUUGUCCUCUGCAACUCGAGGGCAUGAAGGCGGAAUCGCUAGUAAUCGCGGAUCAGCAUGCCGCGGUGAAUACGUUCCCAGGCCUU